rnacentral:rRNA from 1 species
AUUGAACGCUGGCGGCAUGCCUUACACAUGCAAGUCGAACGGCAGCACGGGGCAACCUGGUGGCGAGUGGCGAACGGGUGAGUAAUGCAUCGGAACGUACCUUUCAGUGGGGGAUAACGUAGCGGAAGUUACGCUAAUACCGCAUAUUCUGUGAGCAGGAAAGCAGGGAAUCGCAAGACCUUGCGCUGAUUGAGCGGCCGAUGUCAGAUUAGCUAGUUGGUGAGGUAAAGGCUCACCAAGGCGACGAUCUGUAGCGGGUCUGAGAGGAUGAUCCGCCACACUGGAACUGAGACACGGUCCAGCCUCCUACGGGAGGCAGCUGUGGGGAAUUUUGGACAAUGGGGGCAACCCUGAUCCAGCCAUGCCGCGUGAGUGAAGAAGGCCUUCGGGUUGUAAAGCUCUUUCGGCCGGGAAGAAAUCGCACGGGCUAAUACCCUGUGUGGAUGACGGUACCGGAAUAAGAAGCACCGGCUAACUACGUGCCAGCAGCCGCCGUAAAAC